rnacentral:tRNA from 1 species
CAGGGAGACAAAACUGAUUAUGAUGUCUGAUUAAAAUAUUAGGCCUUAAUCCUGUCACCUUAGGUCGAUCGGUACCUCAGAUUGAGAGCUAUAAAAUGAGAAGAAAUUCUUAUAUUUGGUUUUCGGUUUUAGUUCCUAAACUUGUCUAGGUCACACCCAACAAACUUUCUCCUGGGCUAUUAGCUCAGGCGGUUAGAGCGCACCCCUGAUAAGGGUGAGGUCCCUGGUUCAAGUCCAGGAUGGCCCAUUCGGUGUUGGGGGUAUGGCUCAGUUGGUAGAGCGCCUGCUUUGCAAGCAGGAUGUCAGCGGUUCGAGUCCGCUUACCUCCACUGAUCAACUACCUGAUAACUCAAAUUGGAGAUUGUUAUUUGUUAAAUGUGAUUUAGAUGUUGUUCAACUGAAGGAACCUAGCUUCCUAUCACUCCUGAAUUAACUUUAGGCUGAUAAGACGCUGGGCUCACUGGAUGUUCUAAGGGAUAUUCAGUUUGUUUCAGCAGAACCUUGACAACUGCAUAGGAAAAUCUAGAAAAAUAAAGCAUCUCAUAGAUGCAUAGAAGUUUUUUCAUUUUUUAAUGAUUAGAUUUUUAUGUUCAAUUCUUGAGUUAGAGCAAAUUUUCUAUUACUUAAUUCACUUAUGAUUAAGUGAUGACUAAUUAAUUUUAGAUAAGUGUAUAGAUUAAU